AACGUACGCUGGCGGCACGCCUAACACAUGCAAGUCGAACGAAGUAGCAAUACUUAGUGGCAGACGGGUGAGUAACAUGUAGGUAUCUGCCCUUUGGCCUGGAAUAACACGAGGAAACUUGUGCUAAUACCGGAUAAGUCUUUACGGAGAAAGCUUUAUGCACCAUUGGAUGAGCCUGCACUUGAUUAGUUUGUUGGUGGGGUAAUGGCCUACCAAGACUGUGAUCAAUAGCUGAUUUGAGAGGAUGAUCAGCCACAUUGGGACUGAGACACGGCCCAAACUCCUACGGGAGGCAGCAGUGGGGAAUCUUGCACAAUGGAGGAAACUCUGAUGCAGCGAUGCCGCGUGAGUGAAGAAGGCCCUUGGGUUGUAAAGCUCUUUCGUCGGGGAAGAAAAUGACUGUACCCGAAUAAGAAGGUCCGGCUAACUUCGUGCCAGCAGCCGCGGUAAUACGAAGGGACCUAGCGUAGUUCGGAAUUACUGGGCUUAAAGAGUUCGUAGGUGGUUGAAAAAGUUAGUGGUGAAAUCCCAGAGCUUAACUCUGGAACUGCCAUUAAAACUUUUCAGCUAGAGUAUGAUAGAGGAAAGCAGAAUUUCUAGUGUAGAGGUGAAAUUCGUAGAUAUUAGAAAGAAUACCAAUUGCGAAGGCAGCUUUCUGGAUCAUUACUGACACUGAGGAACGAAAGCAUGGGUAGCGAAGAGGAUUAGAUACCCUCGUAGUCCAUGCCGUAAACGAUGUGUGUUAGACGUUGGAAAUUUAUCUUCAGUGUCGCAGGGAAACCGAUAAACACACCGCCUGGGGAGUACGACCGCAAGGUUAAAACUCAAAUGAAUUGACGGGGACCCGCACAAGUAGUGGAGCAUGUGGUUUAAUUCGAAGAUACGCGCAGAACCUUACCAACACUUGACAUGUUCGUCGCGACUCUAAGAGAUUAGAGUUUUCGGUUCGGCCGGACGAAACACAGGUGCUGCAUGGCUGUCGUCAGCUCGUGUCGUGAGAUGUUGGGUUAAGUCCCGCAACGAGCGCAACCCUCACUUUUAGUUGCCAUCAUUAAGUUGGGCACUCUGAAAGAACUGCCAGUGAUAAGCUGGAGGAAGGUGGGGAUGACGUCAAGUCCUCAUGGCCCUUACGUGUUGGGCUACACACGUGCUACAAUGGUAUCUACAACAGGAAGCAAGACUGCGAAGUUAAGCAAAUCCCUAAAAGAUACCUCAGUUCGGAUUGCACUCUGCAACUCGAGUGCAUGAAGCUGGAAUUACUAGUAAUCGUGGAUCAGCGUGCCACGGUGAAUGCGUUCCCGGGUCU
rnacentral:rRNA from 1 species